rnacentral:tRNA from 1 species
GCGGCAGUAGCUCAGUGGUAGAGCCCGCGCUUUACAUGCGGGCAGAUCUGGUUCGAUUCCCGGCUGCUUCC